CAGAAAAUUUUUAUUUAUUUACAAUAAAUUCUUAGUUAUUAAUUUAACUUUUUCUGA
rnacentral:tRNA from 1 species